AGCCAGCACGUCCUCCGAGGCCGGGGUAGGAGGCGACGAGUGCAGAAAGUGAAAUCAGUAGCCUCAUCAAAGAAACCAGGAAACGUCCUUCCCUGGAUUCGGGGUGUCCUGCAGGACCCACGCACUCCUUAAUGCUACAGUGACAGCGAUUUCAGGAAGUAAAAGCAGAGGAACACGAUGACCAAGAAGGGGGACUAGGCUGAAGUCCGGCAGCGGGAGUGCUAGACCCCGAGCUUCCCGUGGGGACAGUGACUAGGCCACCCACGAGACUCCGUCCCUGCCGUGAGGCCUCAGGGGCGAAAGCAAAGCCUUAAAACUGUCAGAGAAAUUCCACGGGCACAUCUGGCUCAGCUGGGGACCGGGCAGAUUCUUAAACAAGGCACCAAAGGCAUGGACAAUAAAGAGCAGUGAGCGUUUUAACUGCAUUCAACUGAAAACAUCUGUCUUUUAAAGCAAAGGAUUUAAUAUUAGAACCA